CUUGCGUCAGGAUUAAAGGCUCUCGUGCCC
rnacentral:piRNA from 1 species